rnacentral:rRNA from 1 species
UACGUAGGUGACAAGCGUUGUCCGGAUUUACUGGGCGUAAAGAGCGCGCAGGCGGUCGAUCAAGUCGAGUGUGAAAGCCCCCGGCUCAACCGGGGAGGGUCAUUCGAUACUGAUCGACUCGAAGGCAGGAGAGGGUAGUGGAAUUCCCGGUGUAGUGGUGAAAUGCGUAGAUAUCGGGAGGAACACCAGUGGCGAAGGCGACUACCUGGCCUGUUCUUGACGCUGAGGCGCGAAAGCUAGGGGAGCAACGGG